UGGACUUUCUAAGCGUCAAUGUAAGAAGCUGAAUCACAGCCUCCUCCUAUGGAAAGUGAUAGUUCAUAGAGAUGGCUAUUUUAAGAGUAUCUGUAAAGCCCAGAACUGAAAGUUUCAUUUUACUGGAGUCAGCAGCAGGUGGAAUGAUUGGAAUAGAGAGGGAAAAGAGACAUCCAUGUCAACGACUUCAUCAAGGUUUAUUUUUCAUUCCUUCCACAGUCCUGCUGCUGAAAUAUGGUCUGACUGCUUUGCUGUAUCAUUCGGGAAAGCACCAGCAGAAUAUGACUCAAGGCAAACAGUUUCACAGUCUCAUUGAUGUAAAGAGCAGAAGAAUUCAUCUUUUGGGUUGUUUACUGUUCUGAAUAGCAAUCAGUAGUUUGCACUUGUAGGUAAAAGCUAAACAUACCAUAAAUGUAUUCCCUGUUAGUAUUUAUUGGGGAAAAAAAAGAUCUUGGGGUCAGACUGAGUUCUAGAAAGUUUCUUAACUCAAUCUGCACUUUAUCUUCUUUAGAUAUUUAACAUGGUAGCUCAAUCUUUAGGAUUCUUUCCAGUUCUAAUAUGCUAAGCUUCUGUAUAUUAUUUUACUUAAAUACCAAAUUCUAAUAAUUGAAUCCAUCAGAAUUUGAUAAAUUAUUUCCACACCAUUAUUCUCUCAGAUUGAAUAAUAUCAAAACCUUAUUUUUAAAUUAUUACUGCUUUAUCAUAAUUACCAUAAAAUAUAUAUAACAUCAAAUUUACCAUCUCACCCAUUUUUAAGUGUACAGUUCACAAGAGUUAAGUAUAUUCACAUUGUUGUGUAACCAAUCUCCAGAACUUUUUCAUCUUGCAAAACUGAAACUUUAUACCCAUUAAACAAGAGCUCCUCAUUUCCCUCUCUCCCCAGCCCCUAGCAACCACCAUCUACUUUUAUUAUUGUUAGUAUUGUGGUAAGGACACUUAACCUGAGAUCCACCCUCCUAACAAAUUUCUAAGUGCACAAUACAGUAUUGUUAACUAUAGGCGCAAUAUUGUACAGCAGAUCUUUAGAACUUGCUCAUCUUUUAUAACUGAAAGUUUAUAUCCUUUGAACAGCAACUCUUUAUUUCCCCCUCCCCCAGCCCCCGGCAACCACUAUGCUCUUCUCUGUUUCUAUGAGUUUGACUAUCUAAGAGACCUCAAAUAAAUGGAAUCGUGCAGUGUUUGUCCUUCUGUGC
rnacentral:lncRNA from 1 species